rnacentral:rRNA from 1 species
UACGUAGGUGGCGAGCGUUGUCCGGAAUUACUGGGUGUAAAGGGAGUGUAGGCGGGGCUUCAAGUCCGUUGUGAAACCGAUCGGCUCAACUGAUCGUUGCGGCGGAAACUGGAGCUCUUGAGUGAGGUAGAGGCAGGCGGUAUUCCCAGUGUAGCGGUGAAAUGCGUAGAUAUUGGGAGGAACACCAGUGGCGAAGGCGGCCUGCUGGGCCUUAACUGACGCUGAGGCUCGAAAGUGUGGGGAGCAAACAGG